GGGGGCGUAGCUCAGAUGGUAGAGCGCUCGCUUAGUAUGCGAGUGGUACGGGGAUAGAUACCCCGCACCUCCA